CAUCCCUUUAGCAAACGGCGGUUGACCUACUUAUCAUGGAGGCUCUAGAUGUAAAGUCAACAGAGAGAUGAAUGCGAUCUGUAUUGGGGAUUACUGGGAAAGGCAUGCAAUAGUACAAUCCAGAGCACUGGUGAUAGGCUCUUGAAGGUUGGAUAGCUGAUUUUUGCCUUCCGCCAUCACCACAUCUAUAUCAUAAGGACGUAAAGGGUACCACUUAGACCACUGAUGAUAGGCUCUUGAAGGUUGGAUAGCUGAUCUUUGCCUUCUGCCAUCACCACAUCUAUAUCAUCAGGACGUAAAAGGUACCACUUAGACCACUGAUGAUAGGCUCUUGAAGGUUGGAUAGCUGAUCUUUGCCUUCUGCCAUCACCACAUCUAUAUCAUCAGAACGUAAAGGGUACCACUUAGACCACUGAUGAUAGGCUCUUGAAGGUUGGAUAGCUGAUCUUUGCCUUCUGCCAUCACC